rnacentral:rRNA from 1 species
UUGAAAGGGAAACGAUUGAAGUCAGUCGUACCGACGGAGGUCAACCUUUGAAAGCGGGUCGAGGUAUUCGAGGAGUUUAAAAGCCCUCUUGCGCUCACGUACUUCGUUUUCUUUGGUGCACUUCUUCGUAUGGUAGGUUAACAUCAAUUUUGGACGUUACAAAAUGAUCGGGGGAAUGUAGCUUCGAUUUUUUCGAAGUGUUAUAGACCUUGGUAGAUGUGACGACCGGGAUUGAGGAUUGCAACGAAUGCUUUCGGGCUAUCCGUCUGACCUCUGGUGGUUGCUUUAGGGUCGAAAGCGUGCUUACGACUUUAAAGUUGGCUAUCAAAAGGCUAGAACGUGAUUAAAUUCGUUAAGGAUGUUGACGUA